GACGAACGCUGGCGGCGUGCUUAACACAUGCAAGUCGAGCGGAAAGGCCCCUUUGGGGGUACUCGAGUGGCGAACGGGUGAGUAACACGAGAGUAACCUGCCCUUGACUUCGGGAUAACUUCAGGAAACUGGGGCUAAUACCGGAUAGGAAUCCUUGCUGCAUGGUGGGGGUUGGAAAGCUUCGGCGGUUUUGGAUGGACUCGCGGCUUAUCAGCUUGUUGGUGGGGUAGUGGCUUACCAAGGCUUUGACGGGUAGCCGGCCUGAGAGGGCGACCGGCCACAUUGGGACUGAGAUACGGCCCAGACUCCUACGGGAGGCAGCAGGGGGGAAUAUUGCACAAUGGGCGGAAGCCUGAUGCAGCAACGCCGCGUGCGGGAUGACGGCCUUCGGGUUGUAAACCGCUUUCAGCAGGGGCGAAGCUUGUGGUGACGGUACCUGCAGAAGAAGCACCGGCUAACUACGUG
rnacentral:rRNA from 1 species